rnacentral:rRNA from 1 species
ACCCGGAGGAAAAGAAAUCAAACGAGAUGCCCACAGUAGCGGCGAGCGAAGAGGGCAGAGCCCAAACCUGUAAGCUACGGCUUAUGGGGGUUGAGGACUGACGUAAUUAAGGCCAGGCUUAGCUGAACUACCUGGGAAGGUAGGCGAUAGAAGGUAAGAGCCCUGUAAGCGAAAGGCAGAGCCUUAAGGUCAGUAUCCAGAGUACCACGGAGCACGAGGAAUUCUGUGGGAAGCAGGGGGGACCACCCUCCAAGGCUAAAGACUAACUGGCAACCGAUAGCGCAUAGUACCGUGAGGGAAAGGUGAAAAGAACCCCGGGAGGGGAGUGAAAUAGUACCUGAAACCGUAUGUCUACAAGCAGUCGGAGCGAAAGCGACGGCGUGCCUAUUGAAGAAUGAACCAACGAGUUAUCUGCACUAGCGAGGUUAAGUGGAAGACACGGAGCCGUAGCGAAAGCGAGUCUGAAAAGGGCGGCGAGUUAGUGUAGGUAGACCCGAAACCGCAGUGAUCUACCCAUGUCCAGGUUGAAGCGCAGGUAAAAAUGCGUGGAGGACCGAACCGGUGAGCGUUGAAAAGCUUUCGGAUGAGAUGUGGGUAGGGGUGAAAUUCCAAUCGAACGCGGAGAUAGCUGGUUCUCCCCGAAAUAGCUUUAGGGCUAGCCUCAGGUAGUAAGUAUAGGCGGUAGAGCACUGAUCGGGCUAGGGGCCAUAAAGGUUACCGAACCCUGUCAAACUCCGAAUGGAUAUACUGCAGAGCCUGGGAGUCAGACUACGAGUGAUAAGAUCCGUGGUCAAAAGGGAAACAGCCCAGACCACCGGCUAAGGUCCCAAAUGCCGUACUAAGUGGAAAAGGAUGUGGGGAUUCAUAAACAACCAGGAUGUUGGCUCAGAAGCAGCCACCAUUUAAAGAGUGCGUAAUAGCUCACUGGUCGAGAGUCCCUGCGCCGAAAAUUUCCGGGGCUAAAGUACGGAACCGAAGCCGUGGCUGUGUACGUAAGUACACGGGGUAGGGGAGCGUUGCCACAGGGGUGAAGCUGGUCUGGAAGGACUGGUGGACUUGUGGGAAGUGAGAAUGUUGGUAUGAGUAGCGAAAAGAAAGGUGAGAAUCCUUUCCACCGAAAGCAUAAGGAUUCCUGAGCAACGAUCGUCGUCUCAGGGUAAGUCGGGACCUAAUCCGAGGCAAAGAGCGUAGGAGAUGGACAACAGGUUGAUAUUCCUGUACCGGCAGCAAUUGUUUGAGCGAAGGAGUGACACAGAAGGGCAGGCAGGCGCGAGACUGGAUUGUCGCGUGCAAGCGUGUAGGGUAGUGUACAGGCAAAUCCGUACACUGAGAGCCUGAGGCGUUACGCGGAGCGAGCAGAGAUGCGAGCGAAGCUGCUGAUCCCACACUGUCGAGAAAAGCUUCUAGUGAGAGAGCUGCCGCCCGUACCGUAAACCGACACAGGUAUGCGGGGAGAGAAUCCUAAGGUGCGCGGGAGAACCCUCGUUAAGGAACUCGGCAAAAUGUACCCGUAACUUCGGGAUAAGGGUAGCCGUCUUGGUGAAGGAGCAUGCCUCUGGAGCUAAAGGCGGUCGCAGAGAAGAGGCCCAAGCGACUGUUUACCACAAACACAGGUGCCUGCUAAAGCGAAAGCUGACGUAUAGGUGCUGACACCUGCCCAGUGCUGGAAGGUUAAGGAAGGAUGUCCGGGCAACCAAAGCAUUCGACCGAAGCCCCAGUGAACGGCGGCCGUAACUAUAACGGUCCUAAGGUAGCGAAAUUCCUUGUCGGGUAAGUUCCGACCCGCACGAAAGGUGUAACGAUUUGGGCACUGUCUCAACGAGGGACCCGGUGAAAUUGAAAUACCUGUGAAGAUGCAGGUUACCCGCGACUGGACAGAAAGACCCCAUGGAGCUUUACUGUAACCUGACAUUGGGUUUUGUUGUAUUACGUACAGGAUAGGUGGGAGGCUUGGAAGGCUGGACGCUAGUCUGGCUGGAGCCGGCGUUGGGAUACCACCCUUGAUACAACGGAAUUCUAACCGAGAGAGUAACGAAAUCCGGGACAGUGUCAGGCGGGCAGUUUGACUGGGGCGGUCGCCUCCGAAAGAGUAACGGAGGCGCCCAAAGGUUCCCUCAGCGCGGCCGGAAAUCGCGCGAAGAGUGUAAAGGCAGAAGGGAGCUUGACUGCGAGCCAAACACGGCGAGCAGGUACGAAAGUAGGGCUUAGUGAUCCGGUG